UCAAGCGUCGCUGAGUGGUUUGAGGAACUGGUAUUGGAAGCCAGCGACGGAGCAAUCCGUCCGUGGGUUCGAAUCCCACCUCUUUCGCCA
rnacentral:tRNA from 1 species